ACUGUUUUGUUUCGAGGUUAGCAGUAAAUCACACUCAUUUUGCACUGCAAUGCAGCACUCUGAGAUCGUUCCUGGUAUUUAGACUUGACUGCAUUUGGUUUAGGUCUUUGGAUUCAGCAGCAGCACAAGCAAAAUGUCAAGGAAGCCACCACCAAACAAAUCCAUACUCAAAAGGAUUAUCAAAGCAGGUGGUCAACCUUUACAUGGCAUGGUGCCUUCAAGCUCUUCAAGUGAAGAUGAUGAGUCGACUGAACAGGAUGAUAAUGAAGACUUCUUGGAAUUUUGGCUUUCAGGGCAAUCAUUGAAGGAACUUGAACAUCCUAAUGCAGAGGAAGAUGAUGCAAAAUAAGUAACAAAAAUGCUAUGUUCCUGAAUGAAGACAUCUAUUGCAUAGCUCUGAAACAGAAAGCUGAAAAUCUAAUAAAAGCUCUAAAGGUGUACAAUUACCUCCUAUGCAAACAAGGAGCAAAUCUGCAGGGUCAUGUUAAAGAACUAGAGGAAGUGGCUGAGAAAAUCGACAAGGAGGUGAAGAUAGACAUUACCAGGGCAGCUGUAGGGGCAACAGGACUGGCAGCCAUUGUUGGAGGUGUCAUAUUUGCCCCAAUGACCCAGGGGGCUUCCUAAGCAGUGGCUGCAGUUGGGCUUGGAGUUACAGUAUUCUGUGCUUCCACUUCUAACAAAGUCCAUACUGAUCUGGACAGGAAUAAGGCGAAGACCAUCUUCAAAGAUUGCUCUACACAGAUACAGGAAAUUGAGAGGUGUCUAAAGUUGAUCCGUUCAUAUGUGGAAUGUCUGAAUAACUACGAUUUGUCCACUUCAACUGAGGUGGAUUCCAAAGCAGAGAAGGUGGUUAAAAUGGCACAUCAUUUUGAAGACACAGGAAUGAUCAGUGCAGUCAGUAAGUGCUCAGCCCUGAUCCAAGACUCCGUGCUGGGUAUGAAUAUGUGUUUCUGCAAAGACGACAGCAAAGAGCUCAAGAACCUGAAGCUGGUCUCAAAAAACAACUUUGCUAAUGAAAUCUGUGUGCUGACAAAGCAGAUACAGGUCAUCCUUGAUGAGCUGAUGAUGUUUAAAACAGUAGUGGUGGAAUUUGUAGACAUGUAGAACAUAAUUUGGGAGGGAUUUUGGCAUUAUACAGUCCAACUAUAUCACUUGCUUUUUAAAAUUUGGAGAUCUGCUACAUACUAUACUAUAUAAUGAACAUGGUGGAUAUAUGAAUUUAUGAAAGAACAUGGCGACACAAAAUCUGUAAUUCAUAUCAUUCAAUUUUCAAGGGAUAUUCAAUAUAUUUUUAGAUUUGGCAAAAGCUGAAAGAGCAUAAUUUCCACAAGAGGGCAAUAAAUAGUAUAAUUUGAAAGUGUCUUUUGUAGAUAGCAACUAUUUUUAGGUGUCAUUGCUGAAGAUUAGCCACUUCACUGUAACUUAAAUGAACAGUAAUGGUUGUAGGGUCCAUGAUGCCUAUUUAUAAAAGGGUUAAAUUACAAGUUUCACACCUGUCCAGGUUACAUUAAUGCUCCUAAGUGGCACAAAAGAAAAGUCUACAUGAGAUGACAAGUUUUCAUCCCGGUGAUGCCACAGUCAUCCAUGGCUGGGGGGAAGUUUAGGAAGUUUAUUGGUGGGACAAGAGAACACUGUAAAAUGGAUCAGAAUCAGAAAGUUAAGAUAAUAUUUGAUGUAAUUAUACAACUAGCUGUAAGAAAAUAAAGUUGCUUUACUCUCGCCAUACUCACCUGGAUUAUUCAUCUGAUGAAGAUAAAUACACCUCUUUUGUGGAUUCUAUAUGAAAUUUUCUGUAAUGUAAUCUUCUAUGUGAAAUCUUCUAUAUGAUAUAUUUUAUGUGAAAUCUGUUGGUAGAAUAAAUGCACAUUUUUUCCUCCAACCAUAUGUUAUUGUCAGCGGCCGAAAGUAGCAUUGCUGGUCAGUACUGUAUGAAACGUUGUGUUGCUAUGACCCUGAUAUUUACUGUCACUGACUGAAGUGAUUAAUAUAUUCCAAAAUAAAAGCUGUUUUCAAGUGAGUUUUGUGACACUUUAAUUUU